GACGAACGCUGGCGGCGUGCCUAACACAUGCAAGUCGAGCGAGUGAAUCUCCUUCGGGAGUGAAGCUAGCGGCGGACGGGUGAGUAACACGUGGGCAACCUGCCUCAUAGAGGGGAAUAGCCUUUCGAAAGGAAGAUUAAUACCGCAUAAGAUUGUAGCUUCGCAUGAAGUAGCAAUUAAAGGAGCAAUCCGCUAUGAGAUGGGCCCACGGCGCAUUAGCUAGUUGGUGAGGUAACGGCUCACCAAGGCGACGAUGCGUAGCCGACCUGAGAGGGUGAGCGGCCACAUUGGGACUGAGACACGGCCCAGACCCCUACGGGAGGCAGCAGUGGGGAAUAUUGCACAAUGGGGGAAACCCUGAUGCAGCAACGCCGCGUGAGUGAUGACGGCCUUCGGGUUGUAAAGCUCUGUCUUCAGGGACGAUAAUGACGGUACCUGAGGAGGAAGCCACGGCUAACUACGUGCCAGCCGCCGCCGUAACAC
rnacentral:rRNA from 1 species